CCUGUGUCAUUUUCUUCUUCAGCAAAACUCAAGAGGAGCAGAAUGGAGACGUUCACUUUUCUGCAUCUUCUGUUUUUGGCAACAGGUGCCGUGUCCUAUGUGUGUAAGCAUCCUGACCGGGGGUGCAGCGUCACGGAUCAUCCGUACCACGUGCGUUUGGCUCAGCAGUUGCUGGAUGAUGCAGACAUUCUUCCUUUACUCGGGUUUGCUGAGCCGUUCCGGGUCUGCAGUGGGACUCUAAUACACGAACAAUGGGUUCUGAGUGCUGGGAGACUGUUACUCUGCGACAAACUUCUGGUACAGUGGACAGAAAGUAAAACCUUUAAAAGUGAAAUUCAGCUCCCGUCCUGGUGAAAAUCAAGUGAUUCCACAUGACAACAUAAGGAAAUUCAAAAAUGAAGACUCAGAUGCUGAUAAUAUCAUGCUGGUCAAACUUCCUGUGCCUGUGAGUAACAUCGUCACGGCCCAGUUUCCAGCGUCUUAUUGCACUCGUCCAAAAAUUGGAGAGAAGCUUGUUGGAGUCAAUUGUCAUUACACGCAGUACGAUUCAAAUACAGAUAAGGUGCGUCCACUUUGUGUGGACCGUAGCGUCACUAAAACUUCUGAGCUUUUCUUCUACGCCCCACCCAUUAAAAGUGUUGAACCAUUCCGCUUUUGUCCAACUGACACUGGUGGACCCAUUCUGAGGACAGAAGGCUCUGCUGAUGUUGUAUAUGGAGUUGAAAUCUCUGUCAACAACUUCAUGGACGUCUGUGCUGAUCCUGUCAGACAGUGGAUUAAUGAGACCAUUAAUGAAGUGUAAACCAGCUGGAUCUGGUUCCCUGAUGAACGACUCUAGAAGACGAUGCUAUUAUAGACCUUAUUAUGCUGUAUUUCACUAAGGACUGUACAUUGCCUCUGCUAACUGGCUCUCACAAUGCCUUAAACCAGCAGAUCUCGUACCAGCUCUCAUGUUUCCUUUAAUCCAGCUCCCAGUACACCUGUACCAGGUAUUCAGGCUCAUAUCCUACAUUUCACAUGUCUUUUAUUCUGUUCCCUGAAGUGGAUUUAUGACAUCGGUGUGGUUUUAUUAACCAAAAACAGUCCAUUCAUGUUUACAACCUCUUUAUAACAUCUUUAAAUUAAACAGGCUGUUUUUGUUACUGUGCCUUUAAGACUGAUACACUAUAUGGACAAAAGUAUUGGGACAUCUUCACAUUACACAAGAAGCUUUUA